rnacentral:rRNA from 1 species
UACACAAGUGCGACAUGCGUUUACAGCGUGGACUACACAGGGUAUGCUAAUGCCUGUUUGCUCCACCACGACUUUCGCACCUGAGACGUCAGUCUUUGUCACAGGGGGCCGCCUUCGCCACCGGUAUUCCUCCAGAUCUCUACGCAAUUUCACCGCUACACCUGGAAUUCUACACCCCCUCUACAAGACUCUAGCUUGCCAGUUUCAAAUGCAGUUCCCACGUUAAGCGAGGGGAUUUCACAUCUGACUUAACAAACCGCCUGCGUGCGAUUUACGCCCAGUAAUUCCGAUUAACGCUUGCACCCUCCGUAUUACCGCGGCUGCUGGCACGGAGUUAGCCGGUGCUUCUUCUGCGAGUAACGUCAAUGAACUGUGCUAUUAACACUGAACCCUUCCUCCUCGCUGAAAGUGCUUUACAACCCGAACGCCUUCUUCACACACGCGGCAUGGCUGCAUCAUGCUUGCGCCCAUUGUGCAAUAUUCCCCACUGCUGCCUCCCGUAAGAGUCUGGACCGUGUC